rnacentral:rRNA from 1 species
UACGUAGGGUGCGAGCGUUAAUCGGAAUUACUGGGCGUAAAGCGUGCGCAGGCGGUUUUGUAAGCCAGAUGUGAAAUCCCCGGGCUUAACCUGGGAACUGCAUUUGGGACUGUAAGGCUUGAGUGCGGCAGAGGAGACUGGAAUUCCUGGUGUAGCAGUGAAAUGCGUAGAUAUCAGGAGGAAUACCGAUGGCGAAGGCAGGUCUCUGGGCUGACACUGACGCUCAUGCACGAAAGCGUGGGGAGCAAACAGG